CGGCGCCGCCGCCUCCUCGCCUCGCCUCGCCUCGCCCUGCCGAGCGGAGCGGAGCGGAGGGGACCGGGGCGGCGCGGCCCUGCAUCCCCCUGCCCUCGCACGCCAUUUCCUGUGCUCCGUGUUUACUUCCCGGUUCAGCCGCCUUCCCAGGGAGCGCUCGGCGCCGCCGCUUGCGGAGGGAGCGGGAGGUGAGGGCAGCGCCGGCGGGCGGCGCGGUGCGGUGCGGGGAGGAGCGGCGCGGCCGGGGGGCAGCGCAGCGCAGCGCAGCGAGCCGAGCCCGCCGCCUCUUGUCUUGCAGGUGUACCCGGAGCCGCGCACGGAGGGCGAGUGCCUGAGCAACAUCCGCGAGUUCCUGCGGGGCUGCGGCGCCUCCCUCCGCCUGGAGAAGACCAUGGUUAAAAAUGUAUGGUUGAUAUGGAACUCACUGCUGAAGUGCAGCACUCUCCACAGAAGUCUGGCAGAAGAGACAAGAUUCAGAAGAUGAUGGUCA
rnacentral:lncRNA from 1 species